UACGAAGGGGGGCUAGCGUUGUUCGGAAUCACUGGGCGUAAAGCGCACGUAGGCGGAUGUGCCAGUCAGGGGUGAAAUCCCGGGGCUCAACCCCGGAACUGCAUUCGAUACUGCUUUGCUCGAGUACUGGAGAGGAGACUGGAAUUUACGGUGUAGCAGUGAAAUGCGUAGAUAUCGUAAGGAAGACCAGUCGGCGAAGGCGAGUCUCUGGACAGUUACUGACGCUGAGGCACGAAGGCCAGGGGAGCAAACGGG
rnacentral:rRNA from 1 species